AGAUUGAACGCUGGCGGCAGGCCUAACACAUGCAAGUCGAGCGGUAGAGAGGUGCUUGCAUCUCUUGAGAGCGGCGGACGGGUGAGUAAUGCCUAGGAAUCUGCCUAGUGGUGGGGGAUAACGUUCGGAAACGGACGCUAAUACCGCAUACGUCCUACGGGAGAAAGCGGGGGACCUUCGGGCCUCGCGCCAUUAGAUGAGCCUAGGUCGGAUUAGCUAGUUGGUGAGGUAAUGGCUCACCAAGGCGACGAUCCGUAGCUGGUCUGAGAGGAUGAUCAGCCACACUGGAACUGAGACACGGUCCAGACUCCUACGGGAGGCAGCAGUGGGGAAUAUUGGACAAUGGGCGCAAGCCUGAUCCAGCCAUACCGCGUGGGUGAAGAAGGCCUUCGAGUUGUAAAGCCCUUUGUGGAAAGAAAGCAAUCGGUUAAUACCCGGUUGUUCUGACGGUACCCAAAGAAUAAGCACGGCUAACUCGCGCCAGCAGCCG
rnacentral:rRNA from 1 species